UACGUAGGUGGCAAGCGUUGUCCGGAUUUACUGGGCGUAAAGAGCGCGCAGGCGGUCGUUCCAGUCGCGUGUGAAAGCCCCCGGCUCAACCCUGGAAAGCGGGUGGAUACUGCCGGGCUAGAAUCCGGAAGAGGCGAGUGGAAUUCCUGGUGUAGCGGUGGAAUGCGCAGAUAUCAGGAGGAACACCAAUAGCGAAGGCAGCUCGCUGGGACGGUAUUGACGCUGAGGCGCGAAAGCGUGGGGAGCAAACAGG
rnacentral:rRNA from 1 species